GAUGAACGCUGGCGGCGUGCCUAAUACAUGCAAGUCGAGCGAACAGACGAGGAGCUUGCUCCUCUGACGUUAGCGGCGGACGUGUGAGUCACACGUGGAUAACCUACCUAUCAUACUGGGAUAACUUCGGGAAACCGGAGCUAAUACCGGAUGAUCUAUUGAACCGCAUGGUUCAAUAGUGAAAGACGGUUUUGCUGUCACUUAUAGCUGCAUCCGCGCCGUAUUAGCUGGUUGGUAAGGUAACGGCCUACCAAGGCGACGAUGCGUAGCCGACCUGAGAGGGUGAUCGCCCGCACGGGAGCGUGAACACGGACAAGAGUCCUACGGGAGGGAGCAGUAGCGAACGGUACGCAAUGGGCGAAAGUAUGACAGAGCAACGCCGCGUGAGUUAUGAAGGCCCUCGGAUCGUAAAACUCUGUUAUGAGGGAAGAACAAAUGUGGAAGGAAAUAUGCACGGAGUGACGGUAACUAAUCAGAAAGCCACGGCUAACUACGUG
rnacentral:rRNA from 1 species